GUGGGGAAUAUUGCACAAUGGGCGAAAGCCUGAUGCAGCAACGCCGCGUGAGGGACGACGGCCUUCGGGUUGUAAACCUCUUUUAGUAGGGAAGAAGCGAAAGUGACGGUACCUGCAGAAAAAGCACCGGCUAACUACGUGCCAGCAGCCGCGGUAAUACGUAGGGUGCAAGCGUUAUCCGGAAUUAUUGGGCGUAAAGAGCUCGUAGGCGGUCUGUCGCGUCUGCUGUGAAAACUGGAGGCUCAACCUCCAGCCUGCAGUGGGUACGGGCAGAGUAGAGUGCGGUAGGGGAGAUUGGAAUUCCAGGUGUAGCGGUGGAAUGCGCAGAUAGCAGGAGGAACACCGAUGGCGGAGGCAGAUCUCUGGGCCGUAACUGACGCUGAGGAGCGAAAGCGUGGGGAGCGAACAGGAUUAGAUACCCGAGUAGUCC
rnacentral:rRNA from 1 species